rnacentral:ncRNA from 22 species
CGCUCAUCCAGAGGGGCAGAGGGAUCGGCCCGAAGAAGCCCCGGCAACCUGUCACCAGUCAUCAGACUGGGUGAUCACGGUGCCAAUUCCGACCCGCGAAAGCGGGAAAGAUGAGGA